GCCCGUAAGUAUCUGCAGUCGCAGAAAGAAGCCCCUCCCGUCCGUCCGUCGCCCUCACUGCAGAGGUUCCUCAUGCAUGCAUACAUCGUUAGUGAAUGCCGCCUGCCUGCAAGAAAGACUUCAGUCAACCGCAGCAGCUUCAGACGAAAGUGAGCAAGCCUGUC
rnacentral:ribozyme from 1 species